GUCAAGCCAGAUGGCAGCAAUCAAGUUGAAGAGGGCAAGGUAAGCAGUGAUCAGUGGAAUGAAGCCUUUGUUAGUGCUCAGGUCUCUCUUUCUGGUGCAGCUCUAAGCCUCCAUUCUCGUUUGUGUGCUUUAGGCAAUUCACUCAGUGUAUGCAAAGCUCCCGUUACACACCGGCCGAUGGACCGGGUUUCCUGCUCUCGUAAGCCCCCUGGGAGCCUUACAGGACUCGGUGAUGAAGCCUUUGCCUUUUUUACUUAAAGGUGUCAUCUGCAUCGCCUUUGGCAACUGCCUUGGAGUUGCAGCAUACCCUGCAAAGACGGCGUGGCCUCUGAGCGCGGCAAAAGCACGUGGCCCGAGGAGCUGGGCAUUCUCAGGAGAACGCUGUCUAGGAGACAACGGCCCAGCGACAGCAGGAACUUCCCAGCCGGCGAGGCGGCCUUCCUUCGCACCUGACACGGACCGGGUUCCCCAGAUAUCUGAGAUAAGUCGAGGGCUGUGACCCAGAGCGGGGAUGAAAGGGCGAUGCUGGGUUGGGACUCCCCGGGAGGGAUUUUUGAGUCCGCUUUGGAGACGGGGAUGUGGAAGAAGCGACCUCUUAGGCCACGUAAAGGGAAAGUGUCACUUAUGAUCACAGUGCUGAGGUGCUCAGGGCAGAGCAGUCCCGGUGCGUCUCGUGUCACUUGUCUGUUG